rnacentral:rRNA from 1 species
CCCUUAGAUGUUCUGGGCCGCACGCGUGCUACACUGAGUGGAUCAGCGGGUCAGGUUGCGCGAAAGUGUUUCCUAAUCUUUAAAUCCGCUCGUGAUGGGGAUUGACGGUUGCAAUUUUCCGUCAUGAACGAGGAAUACCUUGUAAGCGCGGGUCAUCAUCCCGCGCUGAAUACGUCCCUGCCCUUUGUACACACCGCCCGUCGCUCCUACCGAUUGAGUGGUCCGGUGAGGCUUUGGGAUCUGAGCGGAAAGAGCGUUUCGCUGUUUCUGCCGGGAAAACUCAGUCGAACCUUAUCAUUUAGAGGAAGGAGAAGUCGUAACA